ACCAUGCUGUAUCUAGAGCCUCAGAUUUCCUCCCACUGAGUUCCACUGCCAACAUGCACUAUUGCAGUUAAACAAUUGUUCACACCAAUAGUUGAAAGGAGUUUUAGGCAGAAAAGAGAAAUAUAGACAUACACCAUGUGCCAGCGACCUCUGCAGAGGCUUACCAUGGUGAAGGUAUUAAAAUUCUCUGCAUACAAACAGUUAAUCACCACAACCAUUUAAAAUGUCAGUGGAAAAAGAAAUGGUUUCCAAGAGCAUAUAACUGCCCAGAUAACUUUCAUCAGACCAGCCACAUGAAAGACCCAGAGGCAACUGCAAAGCCACCGUCAAUACAAAUGCCUGUGGAGUCCUCUCUGGUGCCAGAUCCUGCUGCUUUGGCUAUAAACAAUUUCUCCUGUAGUGCUGCAUCUAGGAUCUCUGGCUGCCAAUCAAGCAGGAAGAGGAGGAGAAGGAAGAACUGUCUAAUGCACUUGAGUAAAUCAGAGUGAAGCUGGAGUCUGACCACUUCCUAACUUCAACAGCCUCCUUUCAUCAACUGGUAGCAAACAAUUCAUAGAGCUUUUAAAGUUGUUCUAUACUUCUGCACUAAUGAAAAAGGCUAGACUGCUCAGCAGAGGACUGCAGACAGCUAUCAUCUUACCAAGCUAUGAGCUGUAAAUGUACCUCACCAGUGUAAAGAAGAAGAAGAUUCUUCACCCUGGGAGAAUCAGUGAGGGCUCUGAGUAUACAAGGCAAGUAGCUUUUGACCCAACUUUUCACUAUGCAGGCAAUAGUUUACUUUUCUUCAUGCUCACCCCUCGCCUGUUUGAAUCACAGGGACCAUACCUAGUUAAUCACUUGCACUAAAUGCCAAACCAAAAGCCUAAUGCAAAGAAUUCAUUGAUUUAUGUUGGCUUUGUACGAAACCCACAUGUAUCAGCCCCUACGAGGGGAGCUAUCCAAGAUCCAGUUGUGGCAUUAGGAUCUGUCCACAAGGAACUGAACCAAUACAGGUAGCACACAAGUCAGACAUAAAUCAUAGAUCUGUUACUGUCUCUUCAUGCACUUUGGCUUAGGCAUUGCAAAAGGAACUUUGGAUAACUUUAUGCAACUGAACAUACUCUCCUCUGGUCCAUACAGAAUGAUUGAAGAGAAAAAGAGUUGUUGAGUUGAUCUUCACACAAUUUUCUUCAUAUACAACUUGUAAUACAGUAGAACCUAAUUUAUUUUAUUUAUGGUCCUUUUUGGCCUAAGAAAUUUGCACAAAAUCAUGACACUCAGUGUGCUUAUUUUAGAAAGAGAAAUAUUCAUAACCUUCUCAAGUUUUAAACAGCAUAAAAACUAAAAAAAGUGGGGUUUUUUUCCUCUUAUCCUAAUUACAAAACAAACAAACCGAACAACCAACAAAAUAACCCAACAAAUAAAGCAAAUGUGAUCAAAUGUUGUUGAUAAAGA
rnacentral:lncRNA from 1 species